rnacentral:tRNA from 1 species
GAGGGUAUAGCUCAAGUGGUAGAGCACAUGUUUAGCAUGCACGAGGUCCUGGGUUCAAUCCCCAGUCCCUCU